rnacentral:rRNA from 1 species
CGAUAACUGGGGUGAAGUCGUAACAAGGUAGCCGUAUCGGAAGGUGCGGCUGGAUCACCUCCUUUCUAAGGAA